rnacentral:rRNA from 1 species
CCAAUAGCGUAUAUUAAAGUUGUUGCAGUUAAAAAGCUCGUAGUUGAACUUCGGGGUUCACCCAUUGGUCAUGCUUAAUUGUCUGCACUGGUGCGCUGUGUCUCUACCUUCUGAGGAACUUUCAUGCCAUUUAUUUGGUGUGGUUGGAAAUCAGGACUGUUACUUUGAAAAAAUUAGAGUGUUUAAAGCAGGCGAACGUCUGAAUACAUUAGCAUGGAAUAAUGAAAUAGGACGGACUGAUUCUAUUUCGUUGGUUUCUAGGAUCACCGUAAUGAUUAAUAGGGAUAGUUGGGGGCAUUAGUAUUCAAUUGUCAGAGGUGAAAUUCUUGGAUUUAUUGAAGACUAACUACUGCGAAAGCAUUUGCCAAGGAUGUUUUCAUUAAUCAAGAACGAAAGUUAGGGGAUCGAAGACGAUCAGAUACCGUCGUAGUCUUAACCAUAAACUAUGCCGACUAGGAAUCAGACGAUGUUAAUUUUUUAAUGACUCGUUUGGCACCUUACG